GCCUUUGUAGCUCAGUGGCAGAGCGUUCCACUCGUAAUGGAAAGGUCCUCGGAUCAAUCCCGAGCGGAGGCA
rfam:Mortierella elongata AG-77 unplaced genomic scaffold K457scaffold_18, whole genome shotgun sequence.